CAAUAGCGUAUAUUUAAGUUGUUGCAGUUAAAAAGCUCGUAGUUGGAUUUCGGGUGGGACGCAGCGGUCUCGCAUUGCGUUUGUACUGCUGCAGCCCUCCUUCUUGCCGGGGGCGGCCUCUCGGACUUCAAUGUCUGGGGGUCAGAAUCGGCGAUGUUACUUUGAGUAAAUUAGAGUGUUCAAAGCAAGCUUACGCUCUGAAUAUAAUAGCAUGGGAUAACACGACAGGACUCUGGCCUAUCGUGUUGGUCUAUAGGACCAGAGUAAUGAUUAAGAGGGACAGUCGGGGGCAUUCGUAUUCCGUUGUCAGAGGUGAAAUUCUUGGAUUUACGGAAGACGAACAUCUGCGAAAGCAUUUGCCAAGGAUGUUUUCAUUGA
rnacentral:rRNA from 1 species